CCUACGGGUGGCAGCAGUGAGGAAUAUUGGUCAAUGGGCGAGAGCCUGAUCCAGCGAAGUCGCGUGAAGGAUGAAGGAUCUAUGGUUUGUAAGCUUCUUUUAUAUGGGAGUAAAGUGAGGUACGUGUUCCUUUUUGUAUGUACCAUAUGAUUACGCAUCGGCUAACGCCGUGUCAGCAGCCGCGGUAAUACGGAGGAUGCGAGCGUUAUCCGGAUUUAUUGGGUUUAAAGGGUGCGUAGGUGGUUAAUUAAGUCAGCGGUGAAAGUUUGUGGCUCAACCAUAAAAUUGCCGUUGAAACUGGUUGACUUGAGUAUAUUUGAGGUAGGCGGAAUGCGUGGUGUAGCGGUGAAAUGCAUAGAUAUCACGAAGAACUCCAAUUGCGAAGGCAGCUUACUAGACUAUAACUGACACUGAGGCACGAAAGCGUGGGGAUCAAACAGGAUUAGAUACCCGGGUAGUC
rnacentral:rRNA from 1 species